rfam:Gossypium arboreum cultivar AKA8401 contig_76662_1, whole genome shotgun sequence.
GCGUUCGUAGUCAAACGUUUAGGAUAAUUGCUUUCCAAUCAAUAGACCCGGGUUCGACUCUAGGCAAACGUU